GACGAACGCUGGCGGCGUGCCUAAUACAUGCAAGUCGAACGCUGAAGGAGGAGCUUGCUUCUCUGGAUGAGUUGCGAACGGGUGAGUAACGCGUAGGUAACCUGCCUGGUAGCGGGGGAUAACUAUUGGAAACGAUAGCUAAUACCGCAUAAGAGUAGAUGUUGCAUGACAUUUGCUUAAAAGGUGCAAUUGCAUCACUACCAGAUGGACCUGCGUUGUAUUAGCUAGUUGGUGAGGUAACGGCUCACCAAGGCGACGAUACAUAGCCGACCUGAGAGGGUGAUCGGCCACACUGGGACUGAGACACGGCCCAGACGCCUACGGGAGGCAGCAGGAGGGAAUCUUCGGCAAUGGACGGAAGUCUGACCGAGCAACGCCGCGUGAGGGAAGAAGGUUGUCGGAUCGUAAAGCUCUGUUGUAAGAGAAGAACGAGUGUGAGAGUGGAAAGUUCACACUGUGACGGUAUCUUACCAGAAAGGGACGGCUAACUACGUG
rnacentral:rRNA from 1 species